AACGAACGCUGGCGGCAGGCUUAACACAUGCAAGUCGAGCGCCCCGCAAGGGGAGCGGCAGACGGGUGAGUAACGCGUGGGAAUCUACCCAUCUCUACGGAAUAACGCAUGGAAACGUGUGCUAAUACCGUAUACGUCCUUCGGGAGAAAGAUCUAUCGGAGAUGGAUGAGCCCGCGUUGGCUUAGCUAGUUGGUGGGGUAAAGGACUACCAAGGCGACGAUCCAUAGCUGGUCUGAGAGGAUAAUCAGCCACACUGGGACUGAGACACGGCCCAGACGCCUACGGGAGGCAGCAGUGGGGAAUAUUGGACAAUGGGCGCAAGCCUGAUCCAGCCAUGCCGCGUGAGUGAUGAAGGCCCUAGGGUUGUAAAGCUCUUUCACCGGUGAAGAUAAUGACGGUAACCGGAGAAGAAGCCCCGGCUAACUUCGUGCCAGCCGCCGCCGUAAUAC
rnacentral:rRNA from 1 species